CGGGGAGACUGAGGCAUGGCGGGAUGCAGGUCCCAAGCCCUUCCCCGCGGGGAGGCAGCUAAGGCCCGGCAAGAAAUCGAGCACAGCAGCUGCUAGCGCAGGUGCUAAGCCCCUCACUGCCCGGGGCUUGCGGGCCGGCCUGCUGCUCCGAGUGCUGGGCCAGCCGAGCCCACGCCCCCCCGGAACUGGCGCUGGCCCGCAAGCGCCGCGCGCAGCCCCAGUUUCCGCCCGCGCCUCUCCCUCCACGCCUCCUCGCAAGCUGAGGGAGUCGGCUCCGGCCUUGGCCAGCCCAGAAAGGGGCUCCCACAGUGCAACGGUGGGCUGAAGGGCCAGAGUGGGCGCCAAGGGCGAGGAGGCGCCGAGAGCGAGUGGGGGCUGCCAGCACGGUGUCACCUCUCACCAGUAGUUGUGAUUUUUGCUGUCACCCCCAUGGAUUAUGAAUUCACUUUGUCUGGGUAACAGUGGAAACCCUCGGAAGUUGUUUCCACUGUUUCAUCUAAAAGAAGUCGCCAAAACGAAGUUUUCUCAGUGCCAAAGCAUGGACUCAGUGACUGGCAAUGUUUGGGAUUGCAGAGGCUCCAGUAGCCUGGGAAGGUCACCCUAAAGAAAUAGAACCAGAAGAUUGCAGAAUUGCGGCCUUCGAUUCUCCUCUCUAAGUAGACUGAGUACACUUGAAGACAACAAUAUGGGCAUUCAUUAGAUGGAAUUUGGAAGACAAAGCUGAGGUCAGAAGAAGGCUCUGCUUUUUGGAGUCAUUCAGGAACCC
rnacentral:lncRNA from 1 species